rnacentral:rRNA from 1 species
UACGAAGGGUCCAAGCGUUGUUCGGAAUCAUUGGGCGUAAAGCGAGUGCGGGUGGCUCUCUAAGUCAGAAGUGAAAGCCCAGGGCUCAACCCUGGAAGUGCUUUUGAUACUGGAGAGCUUGAAUGUGGCAGAGGGUGCUAGAAUACCUAAUGGUAGUGGUGAAAUACGUAGAUAUUAGGUGGAACACCGGUGGCGAAAGGCGGGCACCUGGGCCAAACAUUGACACUUAGACUCGAAAAGCGUGGGGAUCAAACAGG